UGACGGUACCCUACUAGAAAGGAGCCGCUAACUUCGUGCCAGAAGCGUCGGUAAUACGGGGGCUCCAAGCGUUAUCCGGUGUUAUUGGGCGUAAAGAGUCGUGUAGGUGGUUGGGUAAGUUAUCUUUCAAAUAUCUUUGCUUAACAAAGAGGAGGGGGAUAAUACUGCUCGACUAGAAUUUUCUCAAGGGAGAUCGGAACUGAGGGAGGAGUAGUGAAAUGCGUUGAUACCCUCGGGAACACCAGUGGCGUAGGCGGAUCUCUGGGAGAAGAUUGACACUGAGACACGAAAGCUAGGGGAGCGAAGCAGAUUAGAGACCUGCGUAGUCCUAGCCGUAAACGCAUGCUUGCUAGCUGCAUGAAUCUACCUUCGGGUGGUAUCGUGUGGCGAAGGUAACCCGUUAAGCAAGCCGCCUGGAAAGUACGGCCGCAAGGCUGAAAUUCAAAGGAAUUGGCGGGGAGGCACACAACCAGUGGAACAUGUGGUUUAAUUCGAGACUAACCGAAGAACCUCACCAGGGUUUGACAUGUAGCUGCACGUCUUAAGAAAUUAAGACUCUCUUGAAGGUGCUACACAGGUGCUGCAUGGCUGUCGUCAGCUCGUUCCGUGAGGAGUGCCCUUAAGUGGGACAACGAGCGCAACCCCUAUUACAUGUUAGAAAUGUCAUGUAGGACUGCCUUGCCAUUUGGCGGGGAGGAAGGAGGGGCAGACGUCAAGUCCGCAUGGUCCUUAUGCCCUGGGCUACACACAUGUUACAAUGAGUACGGCAAUGAGUCUGUCGCGAGCACGUAAGUGUAAGCUAAUCUCUUAAAUGUACUCUCAGUGGGGAUUGAGGUCUGCAACUCGACCUCAUGAACACGGAAUUGGUAGUAAUCGCGGGUCAGCUAUACCGCGGUGAAUACGUUCUUGCCUCUUGCACACACCGCCCGUCAAACCAGCAAAGUCGAUUGUAUCCGAACCU
rnacentral:rRNA from 1 species